CCCCCCAAAUGGGACUGCCCUCCUCAAACUGGGCUCCUGACAAGUCGGCCUUGGGCCCCUCGGCGGAGGCCAAGGACCAGCAAAUGUGGAACUAUGUCCCCUCUCGCACCAGGCACCCCACAGGUGAAACCAUCUACCCCUCAGGCCAGAAUCCCCCCGGAUAAGAGCACGUCUCUUCUCCAGGGUGGGCUUCCCAACAGCAGAGAAACCUGGGCGUCCCAAGAACGAGUCCUUGAGCAACAGAACCACAACGCCUUGUGGGGACGGCCAGAGGCACAGGAGGAGGAAGAGAAGGCGCAGGAGGCCACCACAGCCUCAAGGAAGGCUCCAGUGCCCUGGGAAGAGAAACCAAGAACAGACCAGCCACAAAAAAAAGUGGGCGUGCCGGUAUUGUAGCCAGAUUUCCAAGCUGUCUGCACGGUAAAGAAUACAGCCGUGUGAGCAAGAAAGAAGCCAGAGCCACCAGACCAAAGAGUGUGUGUGUCAGGAGUUAGAUCACACCUGCCUGCCCGCCAGUUCCAAGGGCCUGAGGGCGCCCCAGCAACUGCAGGGAGAGGCCACCACCAGCCCCCUCCAGAGGGGGUGCUCUGCAGCUCCCAGCACAGCCUCCAGAGGGACAGCAGAGGAGUCAGACUGACCCCCAGCACAAGCAUGAGAAGCAAAGACAGAGGCACAAAGGUGCCAGGAAGGGGUGAAUUGACCCAAACCCCAGGAAUCACCAUCUUGACCAGCCCAAGAACUAGGUUUCCAGCAUAGGGUCAAAGGGCAGAAGGGGCCUGGAGGUCCUUCCUCUGGCGACCCAGUCUGGCCCCUGAGGCUUGCCCUCUCCCCCUCUCAGCUGGCCCCAAGCCAGGUUCUCCUUAGUGAGACAGAGGCGAGAGCCAGGAGCUGUGACUCUAGAGCAGGCUGUCACCAUGGUAAUCGAUGCCAACCCCUUCAGCCCCUUAGGAACUUUUCAAUCUCCUCUUUGUCUUGGUGAACAAAAGGCCCUUCUCUCAUCAGGCAGGACAGGGGAGGGCUGGCAGGCUGGACACCCUGGCCUCUUUGCCUGUCUGCUUUAGCCCCAGUAACUUCCCAAAAUCCAAGCUGCAGAUCAUGGGGGGGGAGGGCACAGAAGGGCCCAGCUCCAGCAGCCCCCAGGCCACCUUGUUCAGCCCCCACUGGAACCCACUGGAGGCAGGCGCUGCCACGGAGAAGCACAAAGAACCCUAUCACCCAGGGACAAGGCCUGACCCCGCCUCCUCGAGGACAAGCCCCCAAGGACAAAGAAACCGGAGCAGGCCAAGAUCUGCCCGCACCCACUCUACAGCAUGGCCUGAAUCCCACGCAGACCCUGUGCUCCAACUUGCACAUUGUCCUGCUUUGCUGUUUUAUCUAAAUAUGACGUCUGAA